ACCCUACGGGGGGCAGCAGUGAGGAAUAUUGGUCAAUGGACGAGAGUCUGAACCAGCCAAGUAGCGUGAAGGAUGACUGCCCUCUGGGUUGUAAACUUCUUUUAUAUGGGAAUAAAAUGUUCCACGUGUGGGCUUUUGUAUGUACCAUAUGAAUACGGAUCGGCUAACUCCGUGCCAGCAGCCGCGGUAAUACGGAGGAUCCGCGCGUUAUCCGGAUUUAUUGGUUUUAACGGGAGCGUAGGUGGAUUGU
rnacentral:rRNA from 1 species